rnacentral:tmRNA from 1 species
GUAUUUGCAUCCGGCAGGCCGGAUGCCUAUAUUGGACCUGCCGGCAACGGCUAUGGCGAUAAAUGGCCAUCGUAAUAAACCUUUCGGACCCGGGGGCGGUACCCGGCGUCUCCACCAACUUCUCCGGCGUUGGCCGGCCAAUGGGGACGAAAUAGGAUCGACGAGGGCGUAAAGGGUGUGUUUUCGCUCGGCAUGGCACUACCGUCAUCAGGCCAUCCUUAAUAGUUGCCAACGACAACUAUGCUGAGGCCCGUCUCGCUGCGUAAUGCGGCGCGAUAGCCUCGUUUAAAAGCCCUUCCGCUCUAGCAGGUGGAAGGCGGGGUUCGCAGGCACCUGGCAACAGAAGCCUGCACU